UUCCUUCGAAAACCCCUCACU
ensembl:piRNA 21ur-8973 ncRNA